AUUGAACGCUGGCGGAAUGCUUUACACAUGCAAGUCGAACGGCAGCAUAGGUGCUUGCACCUGAUGGCGAGUGGCGAACGGGUGAGUAAUACAUCGGAACGUGCCCAGUCGUGGGGGAUAACGUAGCGAAAGUUACGCUAAUACCGCAUACGAUCUAAGGAUGAAAGCGGGGGACCGUAAGGCCUCGCGCGAUUGGAGCGGCCGAUGUCAGAUUAGGUAGUUGGUGAGGUAAAGGCUCACCAAGCCGACGAUCUGUAGCUGGUCUGAGAGGGCGACCAGCCACACUGGGACUGAGACACGGCCCAGACUCCUACGGGAGGCAGCAGUGGGGAAUUUUGGACAAUGGACGCAAGUCUGAUCCAGCCAUUCCGCGUGCAGGACGAAGGCCUUCGGGUUGUAAGCUGCUUUUGUACUGAACGAAAAAGCUCUUACUAAUACUAGGGGUCCAUGACGGUACCGUAAGAAUAAGCACCGGCUAACUACGUGCCAGCCGCCGCCGUAA
rnacentral:rRNA from 1 species